rnacentral:rRNA from 1 species
AUGGAUUCCUUCGUGAACACCGGUAAGGAAUGGCUCCUUCAUGCGCUCUACGCCAUGGAUCUCCUCGGCGGGAUGUAUCGCUAUGCCAUCCAAGGUUCUUGUGCCACCCGGGAUAUGAUUUUCAAGGAAACUUCGCCAUUCGUGGCAUAUAAUGGAUACCUAUCCAAGACAUCAUGUGGCAGUGUGCUGCAAAUAUGGAGGGUCAAGAGGAAAACAAGGGGGGAGCAAGAAGAGAUGCAUACAGUUGAUAUUGAGGUGUACAUGACUGACCUUGACAAGCAGCAGAUAGUUCGUGUGCGGACGUUGGGGGAUUACGCGUUGUUCAUCGGGCACAACUAUACUUGUUGCCUUUCCACACAGGACUACCCAGGGCUUCUGCGGAACCAUGUCUAUUUUACGGACGAUGACGAGUAUUGGCUGAUAGAUUCGAAAGACAAUCGUCGGGAUGUUGGAAUACUAGAUUUGGAGGAUUUAAGUGCCACUGAUGUUGUAUCUCCUCAACCAUGGUUGAAUUGGCCAAUUCCCGUAUGGAUCACUCCAAGUUUUAAUAAGAUCCAUAAAUAG